GACGAACGCUGGCGGCGUGCCUAAUACAUGCAAGUAGAACGCUGAAGGAGGAGCUUGCUUCUCUGGAUGAGUUGCGAACGGGUGAGUAACGCGUAGGUAACCUGCCUGGUAGCGGGGGAUAACUAUUGGAAACGAUAGCUAAUACCGCAUAAGAGUAGAUGUUGCAUGACAUUUGCUUAAAAGGUGCAAUUGCAUCACUACCAGAUGGACCUGCGUUGUAUUAGCUAGUUGGUGGGGUAACGGCUCACCAAGGCGACGAUACAUAGCCGACCUGAGAGGGUGAUCGGCCACACUGGGACUGAGACACGGCCCAGACUCCUACGGGAGGCAGCAGUAGGGAAUCUUCGGCAAUGGACGGAAGUCUGACCGAGCAACGCCGCGGGAGUGAAGAAGGGUUUCGGAUCGUAAAGCUCUGUUGUAAGAGAAGAACGAGUGUGAGAGUGGAAAGUUCACACUGUGACGGUAUCUUACCAGAAAGAGACGGCUAACUACGUG
rnacentral:rRNA from 1 species